UUCUCCUUCAAAUUCAUCCAUCCAUCCAUCAUUUACAACCCAAACAGUCCCCUUUCUUCUCCAAUGUCCGAUCAUGGCAACCAGGGGACCAGCAACCAGCGUCGGCCAUAUACCGGCCACUGCUGUGUCCUCGUUUUACAGCUACAAUCACACACGCGACCCCCCCCUCUCAUGUUUCUGGUUCACACACCACACCCCCACCCUGGUUCCUUCCGGCAACGAGACGAAGAGAGAGAUUGAGGAUCGAGACGGAAGACGAAGACGACUGUGGUAGCGGCCACCGUGAGUGGUGGUCCGGCGAAGAGAGAGAGAGAUAAGGAAAGAGAGGAAAGCAAGGGAGUGGGAACGGCACGACGGACCGGCGUCGGUUUAGCAGCGGCGGCCGUUGGGGAUUUUGAACGGUGGAUUUCCUCCGACGACAGUGGUGGUUAUUGUCGCCGGUUCCGACUGUUGAUGAGUGAUGAUGAUCUGUUGUUUGUAGAAGAUGAUUGAUAAUGGUGUUGAAGGUAACGGUGGUGGUUGGUUCGGUCCAUUUUGGCACAGUUUAGGUCUCGCUCAGCUUGGUUCAGGGAAAACUUUGGAUGUAGUGGGUUAGCUGGUUCGAAAUUUGGUUCCAUUUCGAGCACAUGUCAAAGUUUUCAGUUCUGUGAACAGUUGGUCAACGGUCAGAUCUGGUGCGAUUCUCGGUUUGGGUUCGGGUUUGCCAAGUUCAGUUUCGGCUCGGAUCUUGGUUCAUUUUCGGUUCGACAUAGUUCGGUUACGGUUCACUCGGUUCAAGUUCGGUUCGACAAGAAAACAGGGCGGUGACACAGUUCAGUGACGGGUUCUUGAAUGACGAUAGUAAGGUGAUUGAUCUUUUUCGGGUUCAAUUCUGGGUGUUGGGUCUCGGAGCAGGAAAGAGGCAGCAAUAAACAACACACACAUACUUCUUCAGUCACGAGAAUUUGGAGUUGAGCAUCUACAACCACCACAAUCUCUCAUCAUAUCUCUCCUGAUUUUUGAUGUUGAAGAUGAUGAUGUCUAUUGCUUCGGGUUCAUGUUCGGUUCGGGCUGUCGAGUUAGCGAGUCAGAUUUCGGGUCGGUUAACAACUGUCAACAGACUCGGUUCGAAGUCCGCCGGCAAUCGGCCAUAGAUUGUUUGGGUCAAGCUUGGUUCGGUAAUGGUUCAUCGAGUCGGGUUAGAUUGGUUAUGGGUUCAGGUCAGCAAAGUCAAAUUCAAGUUCGCGGAACGGUCGGUUUGGGUCGAUUUUCAUGUUCAGUUUGGUUAUUUCUGGUACAGCGGAAUCAGUCAACUCAGCUUUUGUUCGAGUCAAAAAACGGCGUUAAAAACGGCGCGUCAAAAAAGCAUAA